rnacentral:rRNA from 1 species
AUGGAUAGCCAGUCCGCGGUGACGAUGGAGGCCGGCGCGCCCACGAGGAAGGAGUCCGGGCGGCUUCCCUCGCGGCACGGCGGCCACGCGCACGGCCACAGCGGCCUCGCCCGGACGGCGCACGGCAUGUCUUCCUCGUCGCUGCGGAAGAAGUCGGACGCCACGCUGGUGCGCAAGGUCCCCGUGGCCUCGCUGCGCCCCGUGCUCGCCAAUCUCCAGGAGGUCCUCCUCGGCACCAAGCUCGCCGUCCUCUUCAUCGCGGUGCCGCUCGCCGUCGCCGCGCAGUGUUUCCGCUUCGGCCAGGUAUGGGUGUUCGCGCUUAGUCUAAUCGGCCUCAUUCCUCUGGCUGAGCGGGUCAGCUUCCUCACAGAGCAGAUUGCGCUCUACACUGGCCCCACUAUUGGCGGGCUCCUGAACGCGACGUGCGGCAACGCAACGGAGCUCAUCAUCGCCGUGUUCGCGCUGGUGCAAGGGAAGAUCGAGGUGGUGAAAUGCUCGCUGCUCGGCUCCGUGCUCUCCAACCUGCUUCUCGUCCUUGGCACCUCGCUCUUCUGUGGCGGCAUCAAGAACCUCGGGGCCGACCAGCCCUACGACCGGAAACAAGCGGACGUGAGCACGGGUCUGCUCACCCUGGGCGUGCUGUGCCAGUCUCUGCCGCUGCUGCUGCGUUACGCCGUCAGCUCCGGGGAGCAUGCUGUCGCCACUGACACCACGGUGCUGGAGCUCUCAAGGGCCUGCAGUUUCAUCAUGCUCCUCGCCUACGUCGCCUACCUCUUCUUCCAGCUCAAGACGCAUCGCCAGCUCUUCGAGCCGCAGGAGAUUGAGGGCGGCGAUGAUGAUGAGGAAGAGGCGGUCCUCGGCUUUGGGAGCGCGCUCUUCUGGCUCAUCCUCAUGACCAUCAUAAUCGCCGUGCUCUCCGAGUACGUUGUCGGCACCAUCGAGCCGACCUCGCAGUCGUGGGGUCUCUCGGUGAGCUUCAUCAGCAUCAUCCUGCUCCCCAUCGUUGGUAACGCGGCGGAGCACGCCGGAGCCGUGAUCUUCGCCCUGAAGAACAAGCUGGACAUCACCCUCGGUGUUGCCUUGGGGUCGGCUACCCAGAUCUCCAUGUUCGUGGUGCCAUUGAGUGUCCUUGUCGCUUGGAUCAUGGGGAUUCAGAUGGAUCUCGACUUCAAGCUGCUAGAGACUGGCUCUCUCUUCAUCUCGGUGCUAGUGACGGCCUUCACCCUCCAGGAUGGAACGUCACAUUACCUCAAGGGAGUCCUCCUCCUCCUAUGCUACAUUGUUAUCGGCGCUUGCUUCUUUGUUACGAGACAACCAGCACAUCACGCGAACGGCAACGGCACGCUGCUGGAUGUCCCAACGGGUCCCAUGAUUGUCCAGGUCGCAUAA